CAGGAAAUAGUUUAAGUAAAAUUUUAAUUUUGGAGAUUAAAGAUAGAAUAUUAAUUUUUUUCCUGA
rnacentral:tRNA from 1 species